AACGCGAAGAACCUUACCUACCCUUGACAUGGUCGGAAGCCUGGAGAGAUUCAGGUGUGCUCGAAAGAGAACCGGCGCACAGGUGCUGCAUGGCUGUCGUCAGCUCGUGUCGUGAGAUGUUGGGUUAAGUCCCGCAACGAGCGCAACCCUUGUCAUUAGUUGCUACGAAAGGGCACUCUAAUGAGACUGCCGGUGACAAACCGGAGGAAGGUGGGGAUGACGUCAAGUCCUCAUGGCCCUUAUGGGUAGGGCUUCACACGUCAUACAAUGGUGCAUACAGAGGGCUGCCAACCCGCGAGGGGGAGCUAAUCCCAGAAAGUGCAUCGUAGUCCGGAUUGUAGUCUGCAACUCGACUACAUGAAGUUGGAAUCGCUAGUAAUCGCGGAUCAGCAUGUCGCGGUGAAUACGUUCCCGGGCCUUGUACACACCGCUCGUC
rnacentral:rRNA from 1 species